rnacentral:rRNA from 1 species
UACAGAGGUCUCGAGCGUUGUUCGGAUUCAUUGGGCGUAAAGGGCGCGUAGGCGGCGGGGUAAGCCUGGUGUGAAAUCUCGGAGCUCAACUCCGAAAUUGCACUGGAUACUGCUCUGCUAGAGGGCUGGAGAGGAGAUCGGAAUUCACGGUGUAGCAGUGAAAUGCGUAGAUAUCGUGAGGAAGACCAGUGGCGAAGGCGGAUCUCUGGACAGCUCCUGACGCUGAGGCGCGAAGGUCAGGGGAGCAAACGGG